GAUGAACGCUGGCGGCGUGCCUAAUACAUGCAAGUCGAGCGAACGGACGAGAAGCUUGCUUCUCUGAUGCUAGCGGCGGACGGGUGAGUAACACGUGGAUAACCUACCUAUAAGACUGGGAUAACUUCGGGAAACCGGAGCUAAUACCGGAUAAUAUUUUGAACCGCAUGGUUCAAAAGUGAAAGACGGUCUUGCUGUCACUUAUAGAUGGAUCCGCGCUGCAUUAGCUAGUUGGUAAGGUAACGGCCUACCAAGGCAACGACGCAUAGCCGACCUGAGAGGGUGAUCGGCCACACUGGAACUGAGACACGGUCCAGAAUCCUACGGGAGGCAGCAGUAGGGAAUCUUCCGCAAUGGGCGAAAGCCUGACGGAGCAACGCCGCGUGAGUGAUGAAGGUCUUCGGAUCGGAAAACUCUGUUAUUAGGGAAGAACAUAUGUGUAAGUAACUGUGCACAUCUUGACGGUACCUAAUCAGAAAGCCACGGCUAACUACGUG
rnacentral:rRNA from 1 species